GACGGAGGGUGCUAGCGUUGUUCGGAAUUACUGGGCGUAAAGAGCGCGUAGGCGGUGACAUUAGUCAGGCGUGAAAGCCCUGGGCUUAACCCAGGAACUGCGUUUGAUACUGUGUCACUAGAGGACCAGAGAGGAAAGUGGAAUUCCUAGUGUAGAGGUGAAAUUCGUAGAUAUUAGGAAGAACACCAGUGGCGAAGGCGGCUUUCUGGCUGGUAACUGACGCUGAGGGGCGAAAGCGUGGGGAGCAAACAGG
rnacentral:rRNA from 1 species